GUUUGCUGCAGCACUUUAUUUUUCCUUACACAAUGACGUGUUGCUGGGGCCUAAUGUUCUCACGUAACAGUAGAAAACCAAAAUUUGUUGUCAUCUCUUAAAGAAUUAAGAAUCGUGUACAAAAACCUUACAUAAAUUAAAAGGAUGAAUAAAUUUACAUGUGUAAAUGCAAACCAUUUCUAACUCAAGGCAAGUAACCACCCAUGGUGUUCUGGUGGGAAAACAUCAGGUAGGAAAGGAACCUGGGUCCUAAGGCUUGGACUGGUCCAACCCUGUCAGACCGGCAAGACAGAAAUGACAACUGAUUCAGGAACUCUUGCCAGCCUC